GGCUCAAAUGGCCAGCUUACCUUUGACUCAGGCUUUGAAAAAUACAGUUAUGAGAUCAUCCAGAAGUUCUUGGUUCAUCAGGCUGCCAGGAAUAACAAUAUGGAUGUGAACUUUUUGCAGUCCUUGGGAGAUAAUGCUAUUCAUCUCUCUUCUGCUAAUGUAAAGGUCCUUUUAGUGUUUACAGAUGGACUGGAUGAUGAUUUAAAAAGACUGAAAAAAACAUCGGAGUUUCUCCACAGCAGAGGAUUCUCUGGACUCCUAAUCAUUGGCCUGGAAGUUGUCCAUAAAUUAGAAGAGCUCCAGGAGCUGGAAUUUGGCAGAGGGUUUGCAUAUAAGCAACCUCUGAGCAUCAAACUGCGAUCCCUCCCAAGCGUCUUACUGAAGCAACUUGAUACAAUUGUGGAAAGAACAUGCUGCAAUAUAUAUGCAAAGUGUUUUGGAGAAGAUGGGUACAGAGGUGAUUAUGGGAGUUCUGGGAGGAAGGGAGAGAAGGGUUUUGAUGGGUUACCCGGUCAUCCUGGUGAGGA
rnacentral:lncRNA from 1 species